rnacentral:misc_RNA from 1 species
CUCAUGCGUGGCUACACUGGAGCAGAGAAAAUAUGAACGACGAUGUGGUUCGGUUUUUCAGCAGCACCAGCCACUAUAGACCUGAAGUCCUCCGCCGCAUUGUGAUGGAUAUCGACACAGUCUGCAACUCACUCUGCUUCUCUAGGAAGAUCACUACCUGGGGCAGCACCGAGCAGCCCAAAAUUUGCCUCUACGGAGGGCUUCCUGUCAGCUUCCCGAUGAUACCGAGAGGUGAAGCUGAUGGAGAGCACAGCGCUGCUAGUGAGCCUAUCCCUCAGUCCUUCCUUAUCCCUAUCCAAAUUUGGAUUUCGCAUCAGUUCCCCGCAGAACCGCCCUUUAUUUACCUCGCCUACACCCGCACUAGCGAAGCCUCACACAUUCCGGAGUCCGUGAAUACCUCGGUUCUGAAGAUCGUAAACAAUCACCCAAACGUGGAUUUUACAGGACUGUGCUUUUGCAAAGAGCUAGCUGAAUGGAAACCGUCCACUUCGUCCCUGUGCUUCACGGUGGAACGCCUAGGCAGGGCACUAGAGAAAAGUGGCCGCUGCCCAAUUUACAUUGAUCAAAGAAUUUGCGGGAACUCGCCGGCCAUGGACAGCAACAAUAAUGAUUAUGGCAGCAAGAGUGUUACGGGCGACAUGCUGCCGAGCUCAUGCCUCGUUUGUUAUGACAAGAAAGACACAGUUUUAGUGCCCUGCGGACACUUUUGCGUGUGCAUGUCUUGUGCAGCGAAUUUGAUGGAGUGCCCACUGUGCCGCGCAAAGAUCAUGGUUCGUCAAAGAGUGUUCGAGUGACGUCCUCUUUGUGUGUUGCGGUGCCGUAUAUGCGUGCUGGUGUCAAUGAAACUUCAAAGGCGUUUAUGUGCACCUUUGUCUAGAGAACGUGCAUUUUCAUCGUUGACUAUGCGGGCGAGUGAGAUCGCAAGACGGCCAGAGAGGUUUUGCUCUCUGCGGCUGGAAUCUGCUACGCGAUUUCUUCCACACGGAUGCGAGAGAUGCAAAGAGAUGACAGAAACGCAAAAGAACGCUUCCUUUUUCCUUGAGCAUACAGGUGAAAACGUGCUGUACACCAAAAAGAUGAUGCUCGAAAAACAAACACCGAAAGAAGCGUCAGUCGUCUGCUCGAGCACAACACAAUCAACGCUUUUUUACCACUCAAAACACCGAAGGGCAGUUCUAUGCAUUCUCACUCACGGGUAG